CUUCAGCGACCCCAGCCACAGCGGCCGGUCCCGGUCCUGGCCGUACGUGGCCAGCAACGCCUGCGCCUC
rnacentral:antisense_RNA from 1 species